CAUUCUACUCAAUGAAGGUGUUCUGUUCCCUUGGACAGUCUCUCAGUUCCUCAGUGUCUCUUACAGCAUGAAUGGUUCAUUGUGAGGCUAAAGUUUGACACAAUAUAUUUUUCAUCUACAUCACCUAAUCCCAAACCAACUUCCUCUGAUACUCAAAGGAAGAAGCAGGGAUAUGUUUCAACCCUGAAGGAAAAAUGGCUGCAUAUGACUUACUGAAAGACGGAAUCAAUCUCCAAAGAGAACUGAUUUCCUAAGGGUAGUUCAAGGGCAAUUUUUGAAAAUACUCAACUUUCACAGUGUACGCUGACUGUAGAAGCAACCCCCCAGAUAAAGUGAGACUCAACUAUAGUUAUUCUGUUCCAAGGGCUCACUCUUAUACCUACCACCUAGAGGUGGUGUAUAUUGAAAUUUGCUGCCAUAUACUUUUAUGGUACUUCUUACUGAUUAAAGUGCUCUCAUACCAGCUGUGUCAUUUAACACCCACAUGGCCAGGCAAAGAAAAUGGAACGAGCACUGUGGUUCCCAUUUCAGAGAUCGAGUGCAAUAAUGGAAAGAGUAAGAGUUGAGUCAGACAAUUUGGUUUCAAAUCCCAGGCAUACUGUUCAAUUUUUCAGAGCCUUAGUUUCCUAUCAGUAAAAUGCAAAGAGUACACACACCUCACCAAGUUUUUGAGGAUGAGUCAAGUAUACAAGCUGCAGGUAUACAUUACUCAAUGUUUCCUUACACCAUUCCACAGGAAGGAGGGCUACAAGUUCACACACCUAAUGUGACUAAUAAAGCCCAAGUAGAACAAACAUCGCCCAAUUCCCAGCUCCAUGCUCAGAGGUCCAAGAAGCAUAUAACUUAGCAUCUCUUUAAAAAGUGUUCAAAAAGAUAGAGAUACUCUGGUAAAAGUUUUUCUGGUUCAAGUAAAUUUGUGACAUGCUAGUCUCUUUAAGGCUCACAGUGUGUGUGUGUGUGUGUGUGUGUGUGUGUGUGUGCGCGCGCGCGUUUCUGCCAUUUGAAUUGCUCCUAGUGUUAAGCGAAGUCAGAAAAUGUCAUUCUGUAAAAAUCUCUCUCAAACUUUCCAACUUAAUAGAAUUGCCAUCUACUGUGGUCUCAACUUUCUGAGCAAAAGCAAUACAACUUUGUUUUCAUGUAAAGUCAUUCAAAAGUGUAUUGCCAUAAAAAUGUAGGCUGUUCCUUUAGGAUUGGUUGAGGUUUUAUAUUUGUCUUGAAAUAGUCAGAUGUGGGAUUUCAGUGAGUUUGGGUUGAAUAGAAAAAAGUGGAAACUUUGACUUAACCACUGUGUUUUAUAAACUGUAAGAAAGAAUACAGUGGUAUUCUAUGGAUUAGAGGGUAAUGCUGAACAUCCUAAAGAUUGUUGCUUUAAGUGGCAGUUUAAUUCCUGACCUUAUUCUUUGGUCUACUUAUUCAAGAGGAGUACCCCCAUUUGAGGAGGUAUAUCAUGAUCUCAGUGUGAUUGGGGAAGGGAUAUUCAACAGUCUGAUUUGUUACUUAAAAUCUAAAAAUUUCAAGUAACAAUGCUUAAGAGUUUGCUUUAUCAAAGACUAGCAUGUGUUAUAAAUAUGUGAGAAGCACUGUACUGCAGACAGGUUUUCUCAUACUGUUCCAAUGCUUAUCUCCUUUUGAGAAUCUGACUAAAAUGAGUUUUCUUAAGACAAAAAAAAUCAUGGCUAUAUAUAAAUGUCUCAAGGAAAUGAUAAACUACUUUGAAAGCUAUCUAGUUUUAAAAAGACUCGAAGUUGGCUCUUACGGUGACAGAUUGACUAGAAUUCAUUCAUUUAGGUCACACCAUGCAGUUUGUAGGAUCUUAGUUCCCCCACCAAGAAUCAAACCGGGCCCCACAGCAGUAAGAAGCACCAAGUCUUAACCACUGGACUGUCAGGGAAUUUCCAAAAUUUAUUGAAUUUGCUAUCAUUGAUGUGGUUACCCAAAGGAAGUUUCUUCAAAUGUUCUCAGAAGUUUGUGUGCUGGCUGGUGAACAAAUACAGGGUGAUUGUUUUAUUGAUGAGAUAGGAAGGGCCAACCCCAUAAAAGGACUU